UGGGGAAUUUUGGACAAUGGGGGAAACCCUGAUCCAGCCAUCCCGCGUGUGCGAUGAAGGCCUUCGGGUUGUAAAGCACUUUUGGCAGGAAAGAAACGUCGCGGGUUAAUACCCCGCGAAACUGACGGUACCUGCAGAAUAAGCACCGGCUAACUACGUGCCAGCAGCCGCGGUAAUACGUAGGGUGCAAGCGUUAAUCGGAAUUACUGGGCGUAAAGCGUGCGCAGGCGGUUCGGAAAGAAAGAUGUGAAAUCCCAGAGCUUAACUUUGGAACUGCAUUUUUAACUACCGGGCUAGAGUGUGUCAGAGGGAGGUGGAAUUCCGCGUGUAGCAGUGAAAUGCGUAGAUAUGCGGAGGAACACCGAUGGCGAAGGCAGCCUCCUGGGAUAACACUGACGCUCAUGCACGAAAGCGUGGGGAGCAAACAGGAUUAGAUACCCUGGUAGUCCACGCCCUAAACGAUGUCAACUAGCUGUUGGGGCCUUCGGGCCUUGGUAGCGCAGCUAACGCGUGAAGUUGACCGCCUGGGGAGUACGGUCGCAAGAUUAAA
rnacentral:rRNA from 1 species